UGCGUAGGCGGAAGGAUAAGUCAGCGGUGAAACGUACGGGCUCAACCCGUGAACUGCCGUUGAAACUGUUCAUCUGGAAUGCGGAUGCUGUGGGAGGAAUGUGUAGUGUAGCGGUGAAAUGCAUAGAUAUUACACAGAACACCGAUUGCGAAGGCAUCUCACAAAACCGCGAUUGACGCUGAGGCACGGAAGUGUGGGGAUCGAACA
rnacentral:rRNA from 1 species